ACGAACGCUGGCGGCGUGCUUAACACAUGCAAGUCGAACGGUGAAGCGCCUUCCUUUUUGGUGGGUGUGGAUGAGUGGCGAACGGGUGAGUAACACGUGAGUAACCUGCCCCCUUCUUCUGGAUAACCGCAUGAAAGUGUGGCUAAUACGGGAUAUUCUGGGUCUGUCGCAUGAUGGGUCUGGGAAAGAUAUUGUUUCGGUGGGGGAUGGGCUCGCGGCCUAUCAGCUUGUUGGUGGGGUGAUGGCCUACCAAGGCGGUGACGGGUAGCCGGCCUGAGAGGGUGGACGGUCACACUGGGACUGAGACACGGCCCAGACUCCUACGGGAGGCAGCAGUGGGGAAUAUUGCACAAUGGGCGCAAGCCUGAUGCAGCGACGCCGCGAGAGGGAUGGAGGCCUUCGGGUUGUGAACCUCUUUCGCCAGUGAAGCAGGCCUGCCUCGUUUGUGGGUGGGUUGACGGUAGCUGGAUAAGAAGCGCCGGCUAACUACGUG
rnacentral:rRNA from 1 species